GACGUAGGGCGCGAGCGUUGUCCGGAUUUAUUGGGCGUAAAGAGCUCGUAGGCGGUUUGUCGCGUCGUUCGUGAAAACUCACAGCUUAACUGUGAGCUUGCGGUCGAUACGGGCAGGCUAGAGUUCGGUAGGGGAGACUGGAAUUCCGGGUGUAGCGGUGGAAUGCGUAGAGAUCCGGAGGAAGACCGGUGGCGAAGGCGGUCUGCUGGGCAGUUUCUGACACUGAUGCGCGACAGCGUGGGGAGCAAACAGG
rnacentral:rRNA from 1 species